CCCGCACAAGCGGUGGAGCAUGUGGUUUAAUUCGAUGCAACGCGAAGAACCUUACCAGGUCUUGACAUCCCGAUGCUAUUUCUAGAGAUAGAAAGUUACUUCGGUACAUCGGUGACAGGUGGUGCAUGGUUGUCGUCAGCUCGUGUCGUGAGAUGUUGGGUUAAGUCCCGCAACGAGCGCAACCCCUAUUGUUAGUUGCCAUCAUUCAGUUGGGCACUCUAGCGAGACUGCCGGUAAUAAACCGGAGGAAGGUGGGAUGACGUCAAAUCAUCAUGCCCCUUAUGACCUGGGCUACACACAUGCUACAAUGGUUGGUACAACGAGUUGCGAGUCGGUGACGGCGAGCUAAUCUCUUAAAGCCAAUCUCAGUUCGGAUUGUAGGCUGCAACUCGCCUACAUGAGGUCGGAAUCGCUAGUAAUCGCGGAUCAGCACGCCGCGGUCGAAUACGUUCCCGGGCCUU
rnacentral:rRNA from 1 species